rnacentral:lncRNA from 1 species
UUUACUCUUUUUUUAAUGCAAGUUUACAGCUACUCGGUGUUCCUAAUUGCAGACUCAACUAUCUUAACCUACCGAUGAUCUAAUUUGUGGCAUUAUUACCUUAAGAAAUAUUUGCAUUUAAUUUCCUUUAUAUAUAGGGGUAUAAGUUCUUACCAAAUGUACUCAAAUAUACGGUUAUUGAAAAAAUGUAAAUAUUUUCAACACGAACAUGGUUUUAAACGGGUCUUUGCGCCAUUUGGCGCAACUGGUCAUCUAGUGAUUGCAAAAGCUGAAGCACUUGAGCUAUCUAGAAAAAACACUAAAACUACUUGCGGAUCAAGUGCCUCUUCAUCAAGAUAAAUCAUACUGUAGGUGAUGCCAUUUAUGAUCAUUCCCCUAUUCUGUAACUCCACUUGGUAAUUAGUUGAUAAUUAAAUAUGGGCUCAACCUGUGCUGCCAACAAGAGCGCCUAUACAAGGAAUGGAUCAGAAAAAACAAAGUAUACGGAACAUGAACCUAAGGAAGCAAACACAACAGGGUAUACGGAAACCUACAAUUUUACAAUCAAGCAAACAUAUUUCUGCAUAACAUCUGAUGCUCACUCAUCACCAUGAAAUUAGAUGAAUCUGUAACCCUUUUGUUGCUCUUGUGAACAUGAAACAGAGGCACCCAUUAAGAAACAAUAAACUUAAACAGGGGCUUCUAUGAGCUGAUUAGCGUUCAAAGAGGAUACACACCUCUGGUGUAG